ACUUAGUCCAAAUAAGUGGACAGCAGGAAGAAAUUUUCAUCCAGCAAUUUCUCCUUCGUCAUGGUUCUCCUGAUGUCUGGAUUGGUCUAAAUGAUAGGCAGACAGAGGGGCACAUGCACUGGACUUCAGGCGAAUCAGUAAACUACUUGCACUGGAUACGAGGACACGUGGACAACAUUGUUGGUAGAUAUGAUGAGGACUGUGUCGUCAUGUUUCCACAACGAGGCGGACACUGGGACGACGUGCCUUGUGGGUGGCAGAAUGGAAUGGUCGUGAAACAUGUUGGCAUUUGUGAAUACAGGAUACAGACUUCCGGAUCAAUCAUUGGGAAAUGAACUUACGUUACAAC